rnacentral:rRNA from 1 species
UACGUAGGGGGCAAGCGUUGUCCGGAAUCAUUGGGCGUAAAGCGCGUGUAGGCGGCUGGCUAAGUCCGCUCUGAAAGCCCGGGGCUCAACCCCGGGAGGCGGGUGGAUACUGGUCAGCUCGAGUCCGGAAGAGGAGUGUGGAAUUCCUGGUGUAGCGGUGAAAUGCGCAGAUAUCAGGAGGAACACCAAUGGCGAAGGCAGCCCCCUGGGUCAAGAUUGACGCUCAUGCACGAAAGCGUGGGGAGCAAACAGG